rnacentral:rRNA from 1 species
GACGAACGCUGGCGGCAUGCCUAACACAUGCAAGUCGAACGAGACCUUCGGGUCUAGUGGCGCACGGGUGCGUAACGCGGGGGAACCUGCCAUUAGGUUCGGAAUAAAUCCCCGAAAGGGGUGCUAAUACCGGAUAAUGUCUUCGGACCAAAGAUUUAUCGCCUUUGGAUGGGCCCGCGUGGGAUUAGCUAGUUGGUAGGGUAAAAGCCUACCAAGGCGACGCUCCAGAGCUGGUCAGAGAGGAUGAUCAGCCACACUGGGACUGAGACACGGCCCAGACUCCUGCGGGAGGCAGCAGUGGGGAAUAUUGGACUAUGGGCGAAGGUCUGAGCCAGCAGUGCCGCGUAAGUGGUGAAGGCAUUAGGGUUGUAAAGCUCUUUUACCCGAGAUGAUAAUGACAGUACCGGGAGAAUAAGCUCCGGCUAACUCCGUG